CAAUCCCUGUAGAUCCGUACGCAGCCACGCCCCACGUUCCUCAGUCCCCACGCAAAUCGAUCGAUUUGUUUGCUCCGUUCUCCGGCACGCACCCAAGCACUCAGCCGGCAAGGCCGAUCGACGGCGGCACACCGCAACACCCACGGCGACGCCACGACCAGUCGCAUAGCCCAGGCGGGAGGCAGAUGAAGAUAGCAUCGGACAACAAUUCUGCCCCGGUAUACUAUGGGCAAGCUUCUUCUCAAGAGAAACCCAUCAUGAUAUCUGCUCCAAGAAACAUAAGUUGUGGACAAAAAUGUACUGAAAGGCUACGGACCCGUGGUCUUUGAUGACGACAUGAUGUAUUUUUGAAUUUGGAAAUGCAGGACUCCAUUUGCAAGUAAUCCAGUCCUUUGUUUCAUUAUUGUAGUAUAAGCAUAAUUGUUACCUUUUCGUAUUUAAAGAAUUGUCUUCUACUAAAUCUAAUAAUCUAAACCAAAAGUUAUAAAACAUACUCUUAUUUUUAAGUUGGAACAUUAUUGAUUUAAAAUUUAUGCAAUGUUAAAGGGAUACUAUUAAAGUGGUGCAUCAGGGUAACUUUAGCUCCAGCUCCGCCCCUGGUCGCUGACGAUUAGACUAGAGAAACCGACGGGCUAACAUCCCCACAGCCGUAGUGGGUGCGCCACGGACGGUGUCACGUCAUGGACACGUUGACGGUAGUGGAAGCCCAUCGAGUUGCUCCAGUAAGAUGAUAGCCCUUUGUGCCGAAGUCGAGGAAGCCGAGAGCGUGGGUGGCGGAGCCGCGGUCGAGGUAGCCGUGCGAGGGGUCUCCGUGGUCGAUGUCAUGGUCGGGUGCCGGUGUCGAGGCAGCCACACAUGAAGCCGUAGGCACAUA